UACGUAGGUGGCAAGCGUUGUCCGGAAUUAUUGGGCGUAAAGCGCGCGCAGGUGGCUUCUUAAGUCUGAUGUGAAAGCCCACGGCUCAACCGUGGAGGGUCAUUGGAAACUGGGGAACUUGAGUGCAGGAGAGAAGAGUGGAAUUCCACGUGUAGCGGUGAAAUGCGUAGAGAUGUGGAGGAACACCAGUGGCGAAGGCGACUCUUUGGUCUGUAACUGACGCUGAGGCGCGAAAGCGUGGGGAGCAAACAGG
rnacentral:rRNA from 1 species